GACGAACUUUGGCGGCGUGCUUAACACAUGCAAGUCGAACGGAAAGGCCCUGCUUUUGUGGGGUGCUCGAGUGGCGAACGGGUGAGUAACACGUGAGUAACCUGCCCUUGACUUUGGGAUAACUUCAGGAAACUGGGGCUAAUACCGGAUAGGAGCUCCUGCUGCAUGGUGGGGGUUGGAAAGUUUCGGCGGUUGGGGAUGGACUCGCGGCUUAUCAGCUUGUUGGUGGGGUAGUGGCUUACCAAGGCUUUGACGGGUAGCCGGCCUGAGAGGGUGACCGGCCACAUUGGGACUGAGAUACGGCCCAGACUCCUACGGGAGGCAGCAGUGGGGAAUAUUGCACAAUGGGCGGAAGCCUGAUGCAGCAACGCCGCGUGCGGGAUGACGGCCUUCGGGUUGUAAACCGCUUUCGCCUGUGACGAAGCGUGAGUGACGGUAAUGGGUAAAGAAGCACCGGCUAACUACGUGCCAGCAGCCGCGGUGAUACGUAGGGUGCGAGCGUUGUCCGGAUUUAUUGGGCGUAAAGGGCUCGUAGGUGGUUGAUCGCGUCGGAAGUGUAAUCUUGGGGCUUAACCCUGAGCGUGCUUUCGAUACGGGUUGACUUGAGGAAGGUAGGGGAGAAUGGAAUUCCUGGUGGAGCGGUGGAAUGCGCAGAUAUCAGGAGGAACACCAGUGGCGAAGGCGGUUCUCUGGGCCUUUCCUGACGCUGAGGAGCGAAAGCGUGGGGAGCGAACAGGCUUAGAUACCCUGGUAGUCCACGCUGUAAACGGUGGGUACUAGGUGUGGGGUCCAUUCCACGGGUUCCGUGCCGUAGCUAACGCUUUAAGUACCCCGCCUGGGGAGUACGGCCGCAAGGCUAAAACUCAAAGGAAUUGACGGGGCCCCGCACAAGCGGCGGAGCAUGCGGAUUAAUUCGAUGCAACGCGUAGAACCUUACCUGGGUUUGACAUGGAUCGGGAGUGCUCAGAGAUGGGUGUGCCUCUUUUGGGGUCGGUUCACAGGUGGUGCAUGCCUGUCGUCAGCUCGUGUCGUGAGAUGUUGGGUUAAGUCCCGCAACGAGCGCAACCCUUGUUCACUGUUGCCAGCACGUUAUGGUGGGGACUCAGUGGAGACCGCCGGGGUCAACUCGGAGGAAGGUGGGGAUGACGUCAAGUCCUCAUGCCCCUUAUGUCCAGGGCUUCACGCAUGCUACAAUGGCUGGUACAGAGAGUGGCGAGCCUGUGAGGGUGAGCGAAUCUCGGAAAGCCGGUCUCAGUUCGGAUUGGGGUCUGCAACUCGACCUCAUGAAGUCGGAGUCGCUAGUAAUCGCAGAACAGCAACGCUGCGGUGAAUACGUUCCCGGGGCU
rnacentral:rRNA from 1 species